rnacentral:rRNA from 1 species
GGUAACUUAGUCUUAUACUCAUUAUUAAUGGAUCAUAAAUCUAUUUAUCAAUAUUACUAAUCAAGAAGAGUUUAUUUUAUCUCCCCGUCACCCCAACCAAACAAUUUUAAGUCAAACCCAACUCUCCCCUAAAUAAAUUUAUUACCCAUAAUUGUUAAACUCUAUAGGGUCUUCUCGUCCUCCAAUUUUAUUUAAGCCUUUUGACUAAAAAGUUAAAUUAUACCCCAAUCCCUGUGAGACAGUAAAUACCUCGUCCAACCAUUCAUACCAGCCCCUAAUUAGGAGACUAAUGAUUAUGCUACCUUUGCACGGUCAAAAUACCGCGGCCCUUCAAUUUUCAGCGGGCAGGCUAGACCUCUUACAUUUACAAGAAGCGAUGUUUUUGAUAAACAGGCGAGCAUCCAUUUGCCGAAUUCCUUACAGAAACCUUUCUAUAUUGAUUACUACUACAUUUCACUAUAUUAAUUCCACCAUUAUUGCCCAUUGUCCCCUAUUACCAAUGACACUUUGAUACAUAAACUAAACCCAUUAAAAUUAAACCACCCCUAAGUAAACUAUAACGUUAUUAUUUGAUGACUGAUUUCAAGUCUACCCCCUAAGCAACUAGCCCUGUUAUAAUUAUAUCCCUAAGCUUAUCCCUCAAGACAUUAACAAUUAACCCCUAAAUCAAUUAGUACUAAUCAAAAUAACGCUAUUGCCUGAAUUAAAUUCAUUUCUCAAAGAACCAGAAACCUCUAAAUUCGCCUAACAUUUCAUUUCUAAAGAAGUAUUUCUAAGAAAUUUACUAUUUUAACUAAAUUACCCCUUUAGCCCAUUUAAAAUCGAGAAAACAAAAUCUUUCACUCCAUUUGAUAAACCCUGAUACACAAGGUACAACACUAAAUCUACUUCUCAUUAAAUUACUUUUCAAUUAUUUCACCCUUCCUUCUCAGUACUACCCUUAUUACUUACUAUAUGGUCUCAUUACCCAAUACUCCCACUAAUCCCUUAAUAUUGAUUUACCCAGCCAACUUAAAAUCACUAACCUUAUUAAUUAUGUUACCUCUCAAAAUAAAUUGAAUUGCACAAUAACUUCUCAAUGUAAAUGAAAUGCUUUACUCCUCAAGCUCUA